rnacentral:pre_miRNA from 2 species
AGUGGAAUUGCUGUGUCAUGUGGUAAUUUUAUGUUUAACUGUUUGAGGAACUGCCAAACUUCUUUCCAAAGUGGAUACACCAUUUUCAUUUGCACCAGCAAU